CCGUCUCAGUUCGGAUUGUUCUCUGCAACUCGAGAGCAUGAAGGCGGAAUCGCUAGUAAUCGCGGAUCAGCAUGCCGCGGUGAAUACGUUCCCAGGCCUUGUACACACCGCCCGUCACACCAUGGGAGUUGGUUUCACCCGAAGGCAGUGCGCUAACCGCAAGGAGGCAGCUGACCACGGUGGGAUCAGCGACUGGGGUGAAGUCGUAACAAGGUAGCCGUAGGGGAACCUGCGGCUGGAUCACCUCCUUUCUAAGGA
rnacentral:rRNA from 1 species